rnacentral:rRNA from 1 species
GACGAACGCUGGCGGCGUGCUUAACACAUGCAAGUCGAACGGAAAGGCCCUGCUUUUGUGGGGUGCUCGAGUGGCGAACGGGUGAGUAACACGUGAGUAACCUGCCCUUGACUUUGGGAUAACUUCAGGAAACUGGGGCUAAUACCGGAUAGGAGCUCCUGCUGCAUGGUGGGGGUUGGAAAGUUUCGGCGGUUGGGGAUGGACUCGCGGCUUAUCAGCUUGUUGGUGGGGUAGUGGCUUACCAAGGCUUUGACGGGUAGCCGGCCUGAGAGGGUGGCCGGCCACAAUGGGACUGAGGUACGGCCCAGACUGCUACGGGAGGCAGCAGUGGGGAAUAUUACACAGUGGGCGGAAGCGUGAUGCAGCAACGCCGCGUGCGGGAUGACGGCCUUCGGGUUGUAAACCGCUUUCGCCUGUGACGAAGCGUGAGUGACGGUAAUUGGUAAAGAAGCACCGGCUAACUACGUG